CCUACGGGAGGCAGCAGUGGGGAAUAUUGCACAAUGGGCGCAAGCCUGAUGCAGCAACGCCGCGUGGGGGAAGAAGGCCUUCGGGUUGUAAACCUCUUUUGGCAGGGAAGAAGCGAAAGUGACGGUACCUGCAGAAAAAGCGCCGGCUAACUACGUGCCAGCAGCCGCGGUAAUACGUAGGGCGCGAGCGUUGUCCGGAAUUAUUGGGCGUAAAGAGCUCGUAGGCGGUUUGUCACGUCUGCCGUGAAAAUCCGAGGCUCAACCUCGGACCUGCGGUGGGUACGGGCAGGCUAGAGUGCGAUAGGGGAGAGCGGAAUUCCUGGUGUAGCGGUGAAAUGCGCAGAUAUCAGGAGGAACACCGAUGGCGAAGGCAGCUCUCUGGGUCGCUACUGACGCUGAGGAGCGAAAGCGUGGGGAGCGAACAGGAUUAGAUACCCCA
rnacentral:rRNA from 1 species